rnacentral:lncRNA from 1 species
CGGGCGCACGCACUAACUCGAGGAUUGUCCCAGUCUGUAGAGAAUGUCCCCCAAAACAGGGACAGUCGACCCCCGAAUUUAUUUUGGAGCAGCGCUGUCUCCCGAUUUGGAUACUGUCCCCCGAUCGGGGGACAAACGUUUUGAGCGUGGUGUCCUGACUUAAUUGACCUGUAUGUCAUAGUAGGUUUAGUUAGGCUGGAGAAUAGCCUUGGGCACGGCAGAUUCGUGUUUUGUUUUGCACGAUGUGAAUGUUCCGUUCUUAAAAUUGUUUUCUUCAUAUUUAGCACCUUUUGUGAAAUCUUUUGAGUGAUGACAUGGUUUUGGGCUAGUCUUUACAGAUGACCUUGUUGAUUGUGUUUGAAUUUGAUGUUGGGAUUACCAACCUUCCAACGGUGCUUCUGUGAUGGCAGUGCUAAAUUCAAUGCAUCAAAGAGUGAACAAGCUGCUAGAUAUUGUUUUGGCUUUUGUUCAGAAGAAUGCUAAUUCAAUAUUACUUUGAAAUUAUUGAAGAAAUAUGAAACCUGCUUUAAUCAUGUUCAGGCAUGUCAGGAGAAUUUUUGGCACAGAAAAGUUCCCUAAAAUGCUUCAAAAUGCUUUAUUUGUAAGGACUCAUUCAACCAAGUAAUUUCUGUAGGUGAAAGAAUAUUAUACCAAAGGACAAUAUUGUUGACAUCGUUGUCGGACAAAUUCAUGAUCGUGAUAUGAAUCUUAUUGCUUUAAAAGGAGGAGUUAAUAUGUGUUACAAGUUUCAACUCUACUGGUUAGAAUGAAACCUACACAAAACUGAAAUAAGAUGUACUGAAUGGAAUUAAUUACAAACAACAAAGCAAUGUUGUAGGCAGAAAAACUAUACAAAAGCAGCAUCGGAGAAAACAAAACACAUUACAUAUUCCAUAACCAAUAUAUAUAGUUGGUAGAUUGACAAAUACAUUGAAUGUAAUUAGAUGUAAUCCCUUGUGAUUAAUUUUUGAGUGCCAAAAAAGAAGGAAUAUUUAGUCAUUUCUCUUGUAUUAUUUUAACUGUUAGUUUGAUUUUUGAAUCGAAAGAAUAAAUACAAAUAGAGCCAACAGGGAAAUACUUUUAAAAUUUGUGAAUACUGGUCUUUAAUUUUAAAUACAAUGUAGUUUUAUUUACCAUCAGAUAAGACAGGAAUAAGUAUCUUCACUUGGCAUCUUCACAUGUUGAUUUAUGUUUAUUCAACUUUCAUGCAUUAAAAUGUAGAGAUUGCGCAUCAUAAUGAAUUAGAAUCGGAUAUAAUAAAAAAAAA